CUGCUGUUAUUUACUUUGCCUUGCAAAAGUACAAAAAUCCCAUAAAUUUAUUCACAUUUGUCACAUUACAACCACAACAUUCAAUGCAUUUUAUUAGGAUUUUAUAAAUGUUUAAGUCUUGAAUUUAGCAUCCUUUUCUUGUGUGUGUAUUUUACAUAAUUUCUUCACUAUUUACCUUGCUCUUUAGGUCUUGUCGUUUUUAUUAUUUUCCCUUACGCCCCUCAUUGCCAGGUGUUUUUCUUGCUAGUUAAUUCUUUUGUGUUUUAUUGUUCUUUCCUCAUCUAAAGUUAUUCUGUUAGACGUCUGUUAGAUUCUUCCUUGGGUUUUGUUUAUGUCUGCUGUAUUCAUGUUCCACCCUCAACCACUACCCUAUGCAAUCAUCCAGGUUUUGCUCACCUGCGCCGCCUUGUUCACUCCAUUGCCUGCACCUGUCCCUUCUCCUGUUUAGGCUCUCUGUUGGCUGUUGCUCCUUGCUGGAUUAUUCUGUUUGUAUGCCUGCUCCUUGUUCAUUUCUUCCUCAUUUGCCAUUACCUUUAAUGCCUGUUGCUGCCUGUUACUCUGCCCAUGCUCCAUGUCUGUUUGGCCUGUGCAACUGUUGGUUGCCGGAAAUUCUGGAGAGGGCUGUGUAUCCGUGAACAAAUUUGACUCACCUGCAUGGCCAGACAGAUGGUGUUGAGAAGGAUGAGUGUGAACAUCAGGUACUCGAAAGACAUGGACAAAAUUAGAGGAAGAAAAAAGGAAUUGAAGAAAAAUGAAUGUAA